GCAAGUCGAGCGGUAGCACGGGAGAGCUUGCUCUCUGGGUGACGAGCGGCGGACGGGUGAGUAAUGUCUGGGAAACUGCCUGAUGGAGGGGGAUAACUACUGGAAACGGUAGCUAAUACCGCAUGAUGUCGCAAGACCAAAGUGGGGGACCUUCGGGCCUCACGCCAUCGGAUGUGCCCAGAUGGGAUUAGCUAGUAGGUGGGGUAAUGGCUCACCUAGGCGACGAUCCCUAGCUGGUCUGAGAGGAUGACC
rnacentral:rRNA from 1 species